GGACGAACGCUGGCGGCGUGCCUAAUACAUGCAAGUCGAACGGUCUUUCUAUGGAAGCUUGCUUCCACUGAGAAGAUAGUGGCGAACGGGUGAGUAACACGUGGGUAACCUGCCCAUAAGAGGGGGGAUAACAUCCGGAAACGGGUGCUAAUACCGCAUAGUUUUCUUGAUCGCAUGAUUGAGAAAGGAAAGACGGCCUUUGUGCUGUCGCUUAUGGAUGGACCCGCGGCGUAUUAGUUAGUUGGUGAGGUAACGGCUCACCAAGACGAUGAUACGUAGCCGACCUGAGAGGGUGAUCGGCCACAUUGGGACUGAGACACGGCCCAAACUCCUACGGGAGGCAGCAGUAGGGAAUCUUCCGCAAUGGACGAAAGUCUGACGGAGCAACGCCGCGUGAGUGAAAGAAGGUUUUCGGAUCGUAAAACUCUGUUGUCAGAGAAGAACAAGUUGGAGAGUAACUGCUCCAGCCUUGACGGUAUCUGACCAGAAAGCCACGGCUAACUACGUGCCAGCCGCCGC
rnacentral:rRNA from 1 species